UAGCUAGUUGGUGGGGUAAUGGCCUACCAAGGCAACGAUGGGUAGCCGGCCUGAGAGGGUGUACGGCCACACUGGCACUGAGAUACGGGCCAGACUCCUACGGGAGGCAGCAGUGGGGAAUUUUGCGCAAUGGGGGAAACCCUGACGCAGCAACGCCGCGUGAGUGAUGAAGGCCUUCGGGUCGUAAAGCUCUUUUAGUGGGGAAGAAUCCCACCCGGGUUAAUACCUCGGGUGUCUGACGGUACCCACAGAAAAAGUUCCGGCUAACUACGUGCCAGCAGCCGCGGUAACACGUAGGGAGCAAGCGUUGUUCGGAAUUAUUGGGCGUAAAGAGCGCGUAGGCGGUUCGGUAAGUCUGACGUGAAAUCCCAGAGCUUAACUCUGGAACUGCGUUGGAUACUGCCGAGCUUGAGUGUGGGAGAGGAGAGUGGAAUUCCCAGUGUAGAGGUGAAAUUCGUAGAUAUUGGGAGGAACACCCGUGGCGAAGGCGGCUCUCUGGACCACAACUGACGCUGAGGCGCGAAAGCUAGGGUAGCAAACGGGAUUAGAUACCCCGGUAGUCCUAGCCGUAAACGAUGGGCACUAGGUGUUGGAGGUAUCGACCCCUCCAGUGCCGCAGCUAACGCAUUAAGUGCCCCGCCUGGGGAGUACGGUCGCAAGACUAAAACUCAAAUGAAUUGACGG
rnacentral:rRNA from 1 species